GCCUGAUGCAGCGACGCCGCGUGAGGGAUGACGGCCUUCGGGUUGUAAACCUCUUUCAAUAGGGACGAAGCGCAAGUGACGGUACCUAUAGAAGAAGGACCGGCCAACUACGUGCCAGCAGCCGCGGUAAUACGUAGGGUCCGAGCGUUGUCCGGAAUUACUGGGCGUAAAGAGCUCGUAGGUGGUUUGUCGCGUUGUUCGUGAAAACUCACAGCUUAACUGUGGGCGUGCGGGCGAUACGGGCAGACUAGAGUACUGCAGGGGAGACUGGAAUUCCUGGUGUAGCGGUGGAAUGCGCAGAUAUCAGGAGGAACACCGGUGGCGAAGGCGGGUCUCUGGGCAGUAACUGACGCUGAGGAGCGAAAGCGUGGGGAGCGAACAGGAUUAGAUACCCUGGUAGUCCACGCCGUAAACGGUGGGUACUAGGUGUGGGUUUCCUUCCUUGGGAUCCGUGCCGUAGCUAACGCAUUAAGUACCCCGCCUGGGGAGUACGGCCGCAAGGCUAAAACUCAAAGAAAUUGACGGGGGCCCGCACAAGCGGCGGAGCAUGUGGAUUAAUUCGAUGCAACGCGAAGAACCUUACCUGGGUUUGACAUGCACAGGACGCCGGCAGAGAUGUCGGUUCCCUUGUGGC
rnacentral:rRNA from 1 species